CCGGUUCGCCGUCUCGCACACCCACUUCCUACACCGCCACCGAGCACUCGCUCAGUUUCAUACCCAUCCUCGAAGUCGCCUCUGUCUAGUUCCUGCUCUUCCACCACCGCCUGUGAUGUAUCCCCGAGGCCCGGAUGGGGGACGAGAUGCCUCGUCUCGCCCUAUGCUUGCCACUCCCGCCGGCAACGACACGCGCGAGGAGGAUGAGAUCACCACCGCGGAGGCUCAUGUGGAGAAAGACGCCGCGCGGAUGGACGCUGCCCUCCUCAUGCGGACUACGCCCAAGAUGGACGAGUUUCACACCGGGGGCGAUCUGGACUCAAGUGGAAGUGGAAGCGGCAUCUCGGGGCCAAGCGCCUCCAAAAGACAGCUACAAAGAAGGGGAUCGUGGCGGCAACGAGUCAGCAGGUCCAGCAUCCAUGCUUAUCCUUUUCCUUUGUGUUUCUAUUUGAUCUGUUUUUUUGCCCGCGCCAGCAACAGAGAAGAAUGUGGUCGUGGCUGUAAUGGGUCAGCAGCACAAAUAGGAAAUGUUGCAUGUGUUGCCGACAGAACCAUCUCACUCUCUCUUUAGUUUCUGCAAUUUUUUGGACGACCGAGAGGUGCUGCCGUUUAUGAGUAACUUUCCAGUGGGAAAACAGUAUGCCACAACAUCAUGGUCAGAGUUUGGACAUUGCAUGAAGCACUUGCUGGACAAUUGAGAAGAACUCAUGCCUACUUGCAGGAGGGUUGUUGUACACGUGAGUGGAGGUCGAACCCUUCUUGUAGGGCUCUUAAUGUAUGAAGUACGCCAUGCUAGCUAUUGAAUCAAGUUCAAUGGGAUUCGUUAAAAUAUAAGGAGGGUUGUUGUACAAGUGAGACAAGGUCAGCCCUUCUUGCAGGGCUCUUAAUAUAAGCCUGUACUACACGUUCAUCCACGUCGAGCUCGUCGGCUCCCAACGCAACCCCUUCUUCUCUCACGAGAUCAGUGGUGAGGACGACACUGGGGAUAGAGACCUAGGGUUCUCCAAGUGGGCCUAGAAACUCCAUGGCAACGUCUCAGGAAAAAUGGGCGCAUUGAAGUCUUGAAGGACUUUCAGGAAUACUAAUUUUGAGAAUUCGUGGAAAUAAAAAUAGGGUUGGCUUUAUCAAACUGCACAAAAAAAUCAGCAGCACUUCUCUUUAUCAUGCAAGGAAAAUCAAACUUAGGAGCAUCUUCCAAUUUCGUCAGCAGCUGAGCCGAUUGUGAUCUCUGAUCACUAUACAACCAUGGAAAUAAAUAAUGCAGCUUUGCUCUGCAAAUUUU